UACCAGCACCCCGAGUGGUCGGGACGUUUAUUGGGCCUAAAGCAUCCGUAGCCGGUUCUACAAGUCUUCCGUUAAAUCCAACUGCUUAACAGGUGGGCUGCGGAAGAUACUAUAGAGCUAGGAGGCGGGAGAGGCAAGCGGUACUCGAUGGGUAGGGGUAAAAUCCGUUGAUCCAUUGAAGAUCACCAGUGGCGAAGGCGGCUUGCCAGAACGCGCUCGACGGUGAGGGAUGAAAGCUGGGGGAGCAAACCGG
rnacentral:rRNA from 1 species